UACGUAGGGGUGCAAGCGUUUAAUCGGAAUUACUGGGCGUAAAGCGUGCGCAGGCGGUUUUGUAAGUCUGUCGUGAAAUCCCCGGGCUUAACCUGGGAAUUGCGAUGGAGACUGCAAGGCUAGAAUCUGGCAGAGGGGGGUAGAAUUCCACGUGUGAGCAGUGGAAAUGACGUAGAGAUGUGGAGGAACACCGAUGGCGAAGGCAGCCCCCUGGGUCAAGAUUUGACGCUCAUGCACGAAAGCGUGGGGAGCAAACA
rnacentral:rRNA from 1 species